AUGGCCCAUGGGGUGCGCUGUGAGCAGAGCAGAGCAGAUGUGCACAGUACAGGUCCCGGGGCCCCAGCAAUGGAAGUGAGCAGGAUGCACGUGGGGAAGAAGUGGACACAAAGCCUCUCACCUUCCCACCAGCCUCUGCUCUGCUCACCAAGAAGACUGCGCUUUGGCCUCAUGAAUGAGAAGUUUCCACUCAACUCAGAGGGAGGUGAAGGAGUGGAGGCUGUGAGGUUGGGGGGUUGCUGUCCAGCCUGCAGUGAGGAGAGAAGUGCUGAGUGCCCUACUCCAGGUCCAGUAACUUCAGGGGACCUCAGGGAAGAUGCCUAAGAAAAAGCCUCUCAAACACCUUCCCUGCAGUUUCUGUGGUUACAACCUGUUUCAUGUCUUGGGGUUGGGCUAUGGGUUAACAAGCCUUCUCUUGUUGGACGUGAAAAGCGUUUCCACAGAGAAUCUGUUGGAAUCUUGGCCUAGGUUGGUGCAGAUUUAACUUGCAGUAUAUUCAGGGCUCAGGGCAGUUACUUCUCAAGCUUCCUGUGUUCCGGACUACGGCGCCUCCUCAUGGUCACAGAGCCUUCUCUUCCAGAGGAAGGUAUCUGGCAACAUUAACCACAAAGAGACACAUACUAAAGAGGAGAAAAGCCAUGGCAGGCAGGGCUGGGUGUUCUCAGAGAACCAAAGAGACCUUGGACACUCCAAGCUGGAACCCUGCCCCGCCUGCUUCUCCUUCUUGCUGGGUGUGCAGUUUUCUACUUCUGGUUGCCUGCCAGUGAGGGGCUCUCAAGACGCCUCAAGCUGGGGUGGACAAUGGGCAUGCUGGAUGCCAGGGAACCCAAGAUCCUGCAUCAGGUCAGUGCAGUGUGGACAAGGGCUGGCCUCACUGAACGGUUAGGCCCUGUUCAGGACACCCUCUCUGGACCUCAGGUGGAGGUGCUGCUGUCCCCAGUGCUCACCUGGGUUUCAGGAGGUAGACCUUCUGCCCAGAGAAUGACAAAGGCCAGUUCCCCAAAGUCGGUGCAGGGUGAGCAGAGCAAGUGCUUGGGUCUCACAGGGUCCCAGUGAAGAGGAGUUUACUCCUGACCAGAUCCUUCUUGGCUGGUUCUCUUUCUGUGUUAUCUUCACAUCAAAUCUCACAAGGACAAGGAAUCCAGGUGUUCACAGCAUUACUGGCCCAGGUGCCAAUGACCCUCGUUACAGUGUGUUUAUCAUGGGCAGGGAGAAAUGGUGGCUGGUAUGACAGUCCCCUGGACGAGAGAAGGGACCUCCCCUAGGUUGUGUCCCCUGUGUGACUUCAGGGGGUACUGGCAUGAGGGGCACCAUUUUCUUUUCUAAAUAUUUCAGACGACCACCGAGUUCUUUUCAGUUUUUGGUUUCAGAUCUUUUUGAUAUGAUCCAUUUUCAAAGUCUUUAUUGAAUUUGUUACAAUAUUGCUUCUGUUUAUGUUUUGGUUUUUUGACUGCAAGGCAUGUGGGAUUAUCAUGGAGUCCAAGCUCACUCUGCUUACCCCACGACAGGCCAAUAAAUCAAAGGCAAGGUCUUGAGGCA
rnacentral:lncRNA from 1 species